AACGAACGCUGGCGGCAUGCCUAACACAUGCAAGUCGAACGAGACCUUCGGGUCUAGUGGCGCACGGGUGCGUAACGCGUGGGAACCUGCCCUUAGGUUCGGAAUAACUCCCCGAAAGGGGUGCUAAUACCGGAUAAUUUCUUCGGACCAAAGAUUUAUCGCCUUUGGAUGGGGCCGCGUUGGAUUAGCUAGUUGGUAGGGUAAAAGCCUACCAAGGCGACGAUCCAUAGCUGGUCUGAGAGGAUGAUCAGCGACACUGGGACUGAGACACGGCCCAGACUCGUACGAGAGGCAGCAGUGGGGACUAUUGGAGAAUGGGCGAAAGCCUGAUCCAGCAAGGCCGCGUUAGUGAUGAAGGCCUUAGGGUUGUAAAGCUCUUUUACCCGGGAUGAUAAUGACAGUACCGGGAGAAUAAGCACCGGCUAACUCCGUG
rnacentral:rRNA from 1 species